rnacentral:lncRNA from 1 species
AUGACUAGGAAGACAGAGUGGACAGUCCAGCAGGCGGAGGGCAGGGCGAAGGUCGGAGGUGGGGUCAAGGUUGGGGCCUGGGGGGUCAGACAGGAGCCCGGAGCUGGGUGCCGGGUCCGCCUGGGGUCAGACUUCCUCUGCCGCGUCCUGGGAGGGUUUAAGCACCGGCAGGGGCGGCCUGAUGGCAGCUCUGGGGGGGGAGCCCAGCUUCCCCGGAGAGGCACAGAGCUUUGGCGCCGUCUGCCCUGGGUGGAUCCCAUCCCUCCGGCCAGAGCCUGGGCUCGGCUACGGACUGUCCUCAGACCGUCCACCCGGAGAGGACAGCGAAGGCCAGCUGGAGUGUCAUCAGCAAGGUGGUUAUCACUGAGUCCUGACGCCAACGCCCAGCGCAGGGCCCGCCUCGGUGCAGCCUCGGCCCUGGCCCCGGCCCCAGGGGCUCGGCAGAGGAACUCAGAUGGUUCAUCUCUUCCCGUGAAGUGCCAGCCUAGCAGCAGGAGAGCCCUGCACUUGCUGGAGAGAUUUCCCGUCCGGAGGAGCAGGGUAAAUUGCCACCUGCUCCCUUGCUCUGUGGCUUGUCACUUCCAGUUUAACGAGACCCCAGGUGAUGCAGCAGCCAGCCUACCUCGCGCUGACUGCCAAGCUUCCUUUCCUUUUCUGUCUGUCUCCUGUCUCCCCUCUCCGCCAGGGUACUGUCCUGAGCAGCGGGGGCUCUGCGGGCAGCUCUGCCUCCCACACCCUGUGAGACCCCAGCCAGGGCCGCCUCCUGGGCCUCUGCUCUCUGCAGCGCAACAUGGGCCAGUGGGCCCAGCUCUCAGGCUGCAGGUGAUGUCUCCCUGCCCCUGUCAGGGGACCCAGAUCCUUCAUACUCACCAAGCCCUGACAGGCAAACUGGGACGGGCCCUGCCCCUGCCCCUGCCCCUGCCCAGGACGCCGGGUGCCCCUCGGGGCCUCAGUGUCGGUGUCCCUGGGGGGCUCGUGUCCCUGCCCCUGCUCACAAGCUGAGCUCUCUCCCUCUGGCCAGGCCAGAUUCUACUGAACUCUCCUGGGCCAGCCAAAGGCCUGGGCAAGGACUAGAAACUUCUGGGAGUAAAGCCGGUGCCUCUGAGCCCUGGGCCAACACCCACAUCCUUGAAUACCAGCUUCCAACAUAGAAGUAAGGGGUGGAGGCAAGCAUGUGUGGCUGGGUGAGUGCGUGGUCCCACUCCUGCAGCUCAUCCCCUCCUGUAGCUUGUCCCUUCCUGCAGCUCAUCCCUUUCUGAAGCUUGUCCCCUUCUGCAAUUCAUCCCCUCCUGCAGCUCAUCCCCAACUGCAGUUUGUCCCCUCCUGUAGCUCAUUCCUUCCUGAAGCUUGUCCCUUCCUGCAAUGUGCCCUCCUCGUGCUCCUAUAAGCCUUACUACCCCAGGGUGGGGACGUGGGGGUGAGAGGCAAGAACAGGACUCAGAAGAGACAGGCCUGCCCAUCGACCGCCAGCAGCCCACUUCUCCCUGCCUCAACGUCCUCAUCUGUCAGACAGGGCUGGGCGCGCCUCCUUGCAGAGGUGGUGGGAGUUGAAUGAGGGACUGUGGCUGCCUUUCCACCCAGGGUGCCGCUCAUCACAGGCACUUAGGGAGCAGCCGCUCCACACCAGGCUCGGGACUGGCUGCCCAGGCGCCCUGCUGGAGCGCGCAGGAGGUACGAUAACUGUGGACACAUCGAGUGCUUGCCGUAUGCUGCCCUGUUCAGACUGUUCCCAUGUUAGCUCAUGUCCUUCCAUCAAGCCUAUAGCAAAGCAUCUUUUCUCAUCCCCAAUUCACAGAGCAGGACAGGACCUGCGUCUACUGGUACCCACACUCCUUCUGCAGCAUCUGGCACAUUCUCUGGUGCUCAUAGGGUUUGUGGAGUAAUAUAACGACUGAGCAGCAUCUUUUCCCUGUCAAGAACAAAAUGAAAUGGAAUAUUAUUCAGCCCUAAAAAGGAAGGAAAUUCUGACACACACUACAACAUGGGUGAACCUUGAGGACAUGCGGCUAGGUGAAAUAAACCAGUCACAAAGGGACA